rnacentral:misc_RNA from 1 species
UGCUGCUUGUGGAAUCAAACCUUGUCAGCUUCUCUCUUGGAGAAAAUCCGCCUUCAUGCACGCUGAAUGAUUCAAAUCUUGAGAAAUUAUCAAAACUUUCCCCUGCUUCACUGUAUCUUGGAGAGUUNNNNNNNGAACCUGGAGACCGGUGAGCCAGCAACUGAAUCUUCAAAAAAUGGACUCUUUUUCUGAAAAAUCUCUGAGGAUGGAGAUUCCGUUCUUAUUGGCUUUACACCAAAAUCACCAGUUCCAAAUUCUGAAUCAGAUGUGUUUCUGCAUCUGGAUCAAUACUCU